CCCCCCCCCCAAGAAUAAUUGCACAGUGCUGUCUAAGCAGCUGUAAAAGAAUGGCUUUCAUUUUUUUAGGUAGUCAUUAUUUGAGAAAACAAAGUAAAGACGGAUUUUAACCCCCUAGGGAUGUGUAAAAUGGGAAUAUAAGAAUUUUCAAGUUUUACAUAAAUACUUGUGGCUCUCUUCUUAAAAUAUCAAAAAGUUCUGCACAUGCAUUAAUGCUGUAAGUGGAGCUUCAGUAAGUUUGUAGUAAAUUUAAAAGUUGAGAUCUUAAGUAUUUGAAGUCCUAAGCAAUGGCAUCCUUUAAACUUUCCAUUUAGGUUCCUUGAAAAUAGAAGUUGCCAUUCUCAGGCCUGCUUUGGUGGUUGUAGCAGUUGCAGCGAACUUGGACUGUCGAAAGUGGAGUAGACAAACCAAGACACAGUGAACAUUCUAGAGUGUGGAUUUUUUAAGUAUAAUUCCUAUUAAGGUAUAAAGCACACAUGAAUAGUAGGAAUGGUAUCCCUGUGGCCUAAUUACAGCUGGGUUCCUUGGUAUUUUUAAUAUCCCAUCCUGAUGCAUGCUGCAAUCAAUGCCUGUAGCUUUUGAGACCUGGAGUAGGAAAGGUCACUUUCAGACUGUUGGAUAUUCAGCACAUGGUUGCUUAUUUUUGUAGUUCAUUAAUUGCCUGCUAAUUCCUGCCUAUAGAACCCCACUGAGGAUGUCAGUGGGGUUGGGGGAAACAGAGGAGGGUGAGUGAUGACUGUAUUGAGCCUUGGGUUGCUCCUGUAUACCUUGCCAGUGCCACUGCAUCUGCAUCUGGCCUGUGAAGCUCUUGUUCCAGAUCCAGCUUGCAGGGGGUCCUUCCAUCUCGACCUAGCACUGGGGCUGUGCAUAAGUUUGACACCCCAGGCCAAUGCUAAAAGCAACUGCGAAAAAAGCAUUGUGGGGGCCCAUCAUCAAACCAAAUAGAAUUGACAAGGUACAGGAAAGUAACUUGUUACCUCCUGUAUUAGAUGUGUAUAGUAUAUACUUGUUGUUUUUUAUAUAUAUAAAACCAUUUAAAUUAAUCUUGUGUACAGAAUAAAUUAAUGAAAAUAUCAUCUCACUUGAGCUGAACUUCUCUCUUCCUUUUCUGCUGUCUGUUGGCUCUGAUAUGUCUAAUGUAUCCAAAAUUCAUAAGCUGUCCUCUCUUGUUUUGAGGUGUCUGGCACCUACAUAAUAGUAGGCUAUUUCAAAUAGGCAAAGGUUGGAUAAUGCCAAAGAUCAGCAUGUUCAUUCUAGAGUGUACACUUUCUCAUUCCCUCACCCUUUCUAGCAGGAUUUGCUUGAAGUUGUUUAUUUCCUGGUGCAGCAAGAGGGGACUUGCCCUUGCUGACCUAGAGGCAGGUGAAGUCCCAGGGCUGCUCCUGUCCCAGGGGCUUCUGUGAUCAGCAGUAGAGGGUGCUAGGCUUGGCUGGGGACAGCAGCAGCAGUAGCUGGGUCCCUUGCUUCAGGCAUUUCUGCUAUCUGAUCAGUCCCCUGGGUGUACUUUGCUGACUGGGAGCAGGUGCUGGAAGGGGGAACUGCCUGGUGCUGGUGCCAUCCCUGGUCCAGCCCAGCAUGAGACACAGCUUGUCCCUGUAGCUGGAGCCCCCAGGGAAUGUGGAGAGAUAAGGAGCAGGGACUCAUCCAUUGCUGCCAAGCCUUGCACCCUGUACUGCAGCCAAGGGCUGGAACACAUGGGGAUAGCGGCAGCAGCAGUCGGGUCUUCCAUUCCUCGCCUUCUCCCUGCUUUCUCUGCCAGGUGUUAUAUGCCACACUGGGGCUUCAGCCUUGCCUCAGACUCUGCAGGGGACCCAGGCAUUGGGGUUGUGGAGAACUCGGUCCACAGUUAUGUGCCUUACGUUGCAGAUGGGGCAUGUGACUGUGACAUUGCACCCCCUUCCCCACCCCUGUUAGUGCAUAUGUGUACAUAGGCAUGCAUCCCUAAAGAUGGAUUUUUGAGAACAAAAUUUCAGUACCUUAAUUUGGAGUAGAAUCAUUUAUUAAUGGGUAAAAAAACCCCCAAACAACUUAAGGUAAGAUUUUCAAAGCAACUGUGAUUUAGGAGCAUAAAUCCAUGUGAUAAUCUAUUUACCAGGGGUAGCAUCUUCAAGUGAGUUGUGGAGGCCUGGGGCACAGUAAAAGUAUUUAAGUGUUGAAGCAUGUUUUUUUUAGUUACAUGAUUUAAACAUUGAUUUAAAAAAUAUAUGUAGUUCAGACUAAAAAUGCCACAAAACUGUUGCAGUUGAAUGGAACACUACCAGUUUUUAAACCAUGUUUCAUUUCAGCUCAUUCAGGGCUGUCUGACUCUUAUGCAGAUAUUUUAUUAUCUGGCUCAUGUUUUUUCUGCUAUGCUUUUCUUGAGCAUAUCUUUGAGGCUUUCUCUGCUGCAUACGAGUCUAUUCACUUUCAGCUGGAUAUCUAACCAAUAAUUAUGGACAGUGAAAUGCCUAGUUUCAGAUCUAUGCCCCGGGUGGGAUUUAGAGCUUUAGUAUACUUGGCCAAUAAUACAGCCAAGAGCAGCCUUUUCUUUUCCCAUAGCUGAUGUGUGCAUUCUUUCAGUUAAAUGUCUUUAGAACUAAUGCAGAAUAAUUUCUGGCACUCCAACAAAACUCACUUUUUAUUUUUAAAAUCAAAACUUAAUAAUUUUUAUAAAUAAUACACUAGACUUGAAAUCUGAAAUGUAUUAUGUCGUAUAUGAUUUGAAGAUUGACCUUUGAAUGUAAGCAGAUAAUUGGUUUACAUGCAUUAUGCUCCACCAAGGGAAACUUUUAGGUACAUUGAAUUAGGUUGUGCUUGCAUUUUGGUUCCAACUAGAAAUGGUGGACAAGCUUUGUGAGACUGGCAAUUAUUUAAAAUACCAUAUGAUGCUUAGUUAACUUAAAGUAGUUUACUUCUUAACUUAGUAGUUGAUAAGGCUGUUGUGCUACUUACAGUAAUAUCUCUGUUAUCUGGCAUUUUACUAACCAGAAUACUCUAUUAACCAGAAUUCUGGCUGGACGCAGGGGGAGGUGGAGGGAAAGCUUGCACAUGGCAGCCAUCGUGCCAUGCUAGCACUGCUCUGCAUCUGGCCGAAACGUCCACACUGUGCUGCCUCCACCCUGGCCAGCCCCUGCUCCCCCUUUCUGUGUCUGGCUGAAAACAGCUGGCCUUAGCAAACACCACAAACCUCGAGGCGAUGAUCAUCUGACAUCAACUUUAUUGGGCUUGUCACAUCACCCAGAUGUCCAACUCCAGACUCACGAAGCAAGUUUUAUUCUCCCAGCAUCAACAUCAAUUCAUGGGAAACUGUCUCCCAGGACCGCCCCAAAUGAGGGAAGAGUUUGCUGCAAGGAUCUUAUGAGCACAGUAGGAGAUGGAAAAGCAAGAGUGCCAGAAACUGUGUGGCUGACCAAAUCAAGAACAGAGCCACCCACACCACACAGAAACACAUGCCCGAGUUGCAGUAGAACCUGUUGGCCUUGUCAGCCAACUUCAGACCUACAGAUAAGGCAAUCUUGGAAGACAAUCAUCCUUGACUGCACAGGAUUGCCAAUGAAGAUGGUGCCCAAAAUAAAACUAUUAUCAAACAACUUGUUUAGAUUUGGAAGAGAAUUACCUCACUGAAGUUCCCUCUUACAGCUCUUAUAAGAAUGUUACCUCGUAACUCUUACAACACCAGAACUGCCAAUUUCAAGACCUUAAUGGAAGUUUUCUGUUUAUUGUUAACACGUGCAAGAAUAGUUUUAUUUUUUAUGAGACAUUGUUUUUAUUGUAAAAAAAUUGGUCAUAGUGACUUAUGCUGGUGAAUUAGUGAAGAAUAAAAAAGUUGCUAUUGA